GGACCCAGCUCGGCGCUCGCCCGGGCUUCCCCCGGCUGGAGAGCGCGCCUGAGUGCCGCCGCCCGCCGGGCAUGGGGAGCCGCUUUCUGGGCGGCUGCGGCUGCAGAGGAGGAUGCUCUCGACGAGCCGAGCGCUCGGAAGAACUGAAUGAAAUGUGCAGCUGUCGGUGUCAUUUCUGAAGGGAGGACUCGUUUUCUUGGAGAAGAGGCCUCAAUGAGCCUGGCCGAGGCCCGGGAUCUGUGUGAAGUGGACUAAGGAUUUAGUAGGAUGUCAACUGAGACAGAACUUCAAGUAGCUGUGAAAACCAGCGCCAAGAAAGACUCCAGAAAGAAAGGUAGGGCUCAAGCUGUUCCUAUCCUAAUAUCUACUCUUGUGUAGGAAUGAGGUUUUUUGGUCCUGGAAUGGCAUUUGGGGGACUAUCUUUGUGAUUGCUUAUGUUUGUUUGUUUUAAUAGCACCAUUAUUGGGUGUUUUUUGUAUGCACAGUAUCGUAUUUUAAAGGUCCUUCCUAAUUCUCUUGGUAAAAUCCAAAGUUCUUUUCAGCAUAUACAAAGCCCUUCUUGACAUGUCUUCUACUCAUCCCCCCCCCCCAAGCAACAUCUGUGUCUGCAUUCACGCCCCAUCUCCAUCUAACCCUGUUCACCCGCCGGGCAUUCUGUGCUUUGUAGUUCCUCUUUGCAUAUACCAGUGAUUCUCAAACUCCAGCUGCACCAGCAUCACCUGGAAGGCUUGUUAAAACAGAGAUUGCUGAGUCUCAUUCCCAGAAAUUUGGGUUCCCUGGGUCUGUGGUGGGGCCCAAGUUUCAUCUACAACAAAUUCCCAGAUGAUGCUGAUGCUGGUGGUUCAGAGUCCAGACUUUGAGAACCACUGGACUCUCAAUCCGUCUGUGGCUCUCUGCUAUUUCCUAGACUGACUUCUGCCUAUUCUUUAGUUUUGAGCGUAGUAGGACUUCCUGGAGGGCCAGGCCUUUCCUUAACCCCAAAUGGGAUUAGUUUCUCUUUGUUUGUUUUGUUUCGUUAGCACUUUGUUGGUAGCUAACUUUAUUAAUAAUGUCUUUGUGUUUGUUAGCCAUACUAUAUAGUCCUUGAGAGCUGGAUCUCUUGUUGACCCUUUUAACUCCCAUCAAUUAGAAAGUGCUUGACACAUGGGAGUUCCUCUAGUGGCUCAGUGGGUU
rnacentral:lncRNA from 1 species